rnacentral:rRNA from 1 species
ACGGAGGGUGCGAGCGUUAAUCGGAAUCACUGGGCGUAAAGCGCACGUAGGCGGUGUCGUAAGUCGGAUGUGAAAGCCCUCGGCUCAACCGGGGAACUGCAUUCGAUACUGCGACGCUUGAGUGCCGGAGAGGGUGGCGGAAUUCCAGGUGGUGGACUUGGGUGCGUGGAUAUGUGGAGGAGGGGCAGUGGAGUGGGCAUCAAACAGGCUGAGAUUUCGGUAUGCUGUGGGGGAGAGUGGGGAAUGAGGUG